CAGGGAGCAGCGGGCGGUCCAGUCAGCGGCGGCGCGGGCCCAGCCGGGGAGCGCGGGCGUUUGCGUGGGGCCGGGUGGCCGCGACCGAGGGCGGCGGCCGGAGCGGGAGCGGCGGGCUCGGGCCAUGAGCGCGCGGGCGGCGGGGGCGGCGCGGGGCCCUCCCGCGGCCAGGUGAGCCGUCAGCCGGGCGCGGGGCCGCCGUCGCCGCGUUUUCUGUGCGGGUUCCGCGCGCGCCCCGGGGCCGCUCGUCCCCUCAGGUGGGAGCCCCGCCGAGACCAUGAGGAAAUUUAACAUUAGGAAGGUGCUGGACGGCCUGACCGCCGGAUCGUCCUCGGCCGCGCAGCCGCCGCCGCCCGCGCCGCCCGGCAGUCGCGAGCCCGAGGUCGCCGAGACGUUGCAGGCCGAGCACUUCCAGCUCUGCAAGACUGUCCGCCAUGGAUUUCCCUACCGGCCCUCGGCCCUGGCCUUCGACCCUGUGCAGAAGAUCCUGGCAGUGGGGACUCAGCUCGGCGCUCUGCGGCUCUUCGGCCGCCCGGGAGUGGAGUGUCACUGCCAGCACGACAGCGGGGCUGCAGUCAUCCAGCUACAGUUCCUGAUUAAUGAGGGAGCCCUCGUGAGUGCCUUGGCUGAUGACACCCUGCACUUGUGGAAUUUACGUCAAAAGAGGCCUGCCAUCCUGCAUUCACUUAAAUUUUGCCGAGAAAGGGUGACGUUCUGCCACCUGCCUUUCCAGAGUAAGUGGCUGUAUGUGGGCACCGAGCGAGGCAACAUACACAUCGUCAACGUGGAGUCCUUCUCGCUCUCCGGCUACGUCAUCAUGUGGAACAAAGCCAUUGAGCUGUCAUCUAAAUCUCACCCAGGACCAGUUGUCCAUAUAAGUGACAAUCCAAUGGAUGAGGGAAAGCUUUUGAUUGGCUUUGAAUCUGGAAUAGUAGUCUUAUGGGACCUCAAAUCAAAGAAAGCAGACUACAGAUAUACAUACGAUGAGGCCAUCCACUCCGUGGCCUGGCAUCACGAGGGCAAGCAGUUCCUCUGCAGCCACUCUGAUGGCACGCUGACCCUGUGGCACGUGCGGUCCCCCUCGCGGCCGGUGCAGACCAUCACCCCCCACGGAAAACAGUUAAAGGAUGGGAAGAAGCCAGAACCAUGCAAACCUAUCCUCAAGGUGGAGUUCAAGACGACAAGAUCUGGGGAGCCUUUUAUCAUCUUGUCGGGAGGCUUGUCCUAUGACACCGUGGGAAGAAGGCCCUGCCUCACGGUCAUGCACGGCAAGAGCACGGCCGUGCUGGAGAUGGACCACUCCAUCGUGGACUUCCUCACGCUGUGUGAGACGCCGUACCCAAACGAUUUUCAAGAUCCUUAUGCUGUGGUGGUUCUUCUAGAAAAGGAUUUGGUACUUAUAGACCUCGCACAAAGUGGGUACCCUAUCUUUGAAAACCCCUACCCUUUGGGCAUCCACGAGUCCCCUGUCACCUGCUGCGAGUACUUUGCCGACUGCCCGGUGGGCCUCAUCCCUGCACUGUAUUCCGUCGGGGCCAGACAGAAGCGCCAAGGCUACAGCAAGAAGGAAUGGCCCAUCAAUGGGGGGAAUUGGGGCUUAGGCGCUCAGAGUUACCCAGAAAUAAUUAUUACAGGACAUGCUGAUGGGUCAGUUAAGUUCUGGGAUGCUUCUGCAAUCACUCUGCAGGUGUUGUAUAAACUGAAGACAUCUAAAGUAUUCGAGAAGCUGAGAAAUAAAGACGACAGGCCCAACACCGACGUCGCCGACGAGGACCCCUUCGCCGUCCAGAUGCUGACCUGGUGCCCUGGGAGCCGGGUGCUGGGCGUAGCGGGCGUCUCGGCCCACGUCAUCCUCUACCGGUUCAGCAAGCAGGAGGCGCUGCCGGAGGUCAUUCCGAUGCUGGAAGUCCGACUGUUCUGGGAGGUGAACGACGAGGGAUCCCCAGAAGGCGAGCAAGCCCCACCUCUGCCCACGCCGGUGGGGACCUCCAGUCCUCAGCCCGUCCCCCUGCAGUCCCACCCAUCCACCAGCAGCAGCUCAUCAGGUGGGCUUCGCGACCACGCCCCUUGUUUAAAAGUCAAAACCUCACCACUCAAGCAAUCUCCAGGUUAUCAGACAGAACUGGUUAUCCAGCUGGUGUGGGUGGGUGGAGAGCCGCCACAGCAGAUCACCAGCCUGGCCGUCAACUCCUCCUAUGGGCUGGUGGCUUUCGGCAACUGCGAUGGCAUCGUGGUGGUCGACUACCUCCAGAAAGCAGUGCUCCUCAGCCUGGGUGCAGCCGAGCUGCACAGCUCCAGCGACCCUCACCGGAGGGAGCCCCGGUCCCCUCGCAAGUCCCGGCAGCCCUCGGGAGCCGGCCUGUGUGAUAUUACUGAAGGGACUGUGGCUCCAGAUGAUCGCUGCAAAUCUCCGACUUCUGCAAAGAUGUCAAGGAAGCUGAGCUUGCCUACUGACCUAAAGCCUGAUUUAGACGGCAAGGACGGCACCUUCAGCCGGUCCCAGAGCCCCAGUGUGACCAGCCUGGACCGCGAGUCCCGCGAGGCCGUCUCGGCGCUGCACUUCUGCGAGAGCUUCCCGCGCAAGGCAGACCCGGCGCCCGGGCCCUGCCUCUGGGCCGGCACCAGCCUGGGGACCGUGCUGGUCCUGGCUCUGGGGCUGCCCGCGGAAGGCGAGCGGCACCUACAGCCCGCAACUGCGGCCCCCAGCGGCACCAUCCUGAGGUUGAAAGGCGCCGUCCUGAGGAUGGCUUUCCUGGAUGCCGCGGGCUGCCUGCUGCCACCUCCACACCAGCCCUGGAGGGAGCAGAGUGCUCCUGAAGAAAAGGAGGAAAAGGAAAAACCGAAGAACUUGCUGCCAGUCUCUGUGUCCCCCUCCUCUUCUCAGGAAAUUGGCGAAAACCAGUACGCAGUGAUAUGCUCGGAAAAGCAAGCCAAGGUUAUCUCUCUGCCAGCGCAGAGCUGUGCAUAUCAGCAGAAUCUGGUGGAGACCUCGUUCGUGCUCCGUGCGGACGUCGUGGCCUUGGGCGCCGGCGUCUGCCUCGCCUGCUUCUGCGCCAACGGCCACAUCAUGACCUUCAGUUUGCCAAGCUUAAGGCCUCUGCUGGAUGUGUAUUACUUGCCCCUCACCAAUAUGCGGAUAGCCAGGACAUUCUGCUUCACCAACAACGGACAAGCCUUGUAUCUUGUCUCACCCACGGAAAUCCAGAGACUCACCUACAGCCAGGAGACCUGUGAGAAUCUUCAGGAAAUGCUGGGUGAGCUCUUCACGCCUGUAGAAACACCCGAAGCACCAAACAGGGGCUUCCUCAGAGGCUUGUUCGGAGGCGGUGCGCAGUCUCUCGACAGGGAAGAGCUGUUUGGAGAAGCGGCCGCGGGCAAGGCCCCCAGGAGCCUGGUACAGCACAUCCCUGGCCCCGGAGGUGUGGAGGGGGUCCGGGGCGCGGCCUCGGGCGUCGUCGGUGAGCUGGCCCGUGCCAGGCUGGCCCUGGAUGAGCGUGGACAGAAGCUCGGGGAGCUGGAGGAGAGGGCGGCGGCCAUGCUGUCCAGCGCGGACUCCUUCUCCAAGCACGCGCACGAGGCACGGCCCUCACGCAGGCACUGGCACGCCUCCGGCCACGCACGGCUGGCAGUUGCGGUUUUCACAGCUGUUCUGUUUUUACACACACAGAUUUUCAUGUAUCCUUUCUACAGUUGCAAAUUCCUGAUGUUUGCCAUCAGAAGGAAUCAUUAAAAAGUAUCAUUCAGCAGCCUUGGUCUCUUUACCGAGGUUUAUGAAUUUUAAGGAAACCUGCCCAUUUUCUGGCUCUUUGUAAGCAAAGUCAGUAGCUGCAUCUCUUUCUUAGGAGAGGCAAUAACACUCUUAACUUUCCUAAGUUCUGGAGUCCUCUGAGCUAUGUUUUUAUUCAUUCUUUGGCACAUCAGAGCAUACUAAAUGCCUCGGAGUCUCCACAGACUUGUAGAGAAGGAAAGAACCUGCCCCCGUGGUGCUCCCAGGUAGUGCUCAGCACUGCAUUGUGCAGGCAUUUCUGUUGAGAUGCAUAGUUGUCAGUCUGUCCUGGAGACAGUUCAGACAGAAGGAAACCAGAUGCCUCAGCAACAUACCGAUCUCGAUGGAGUGAGGAAGCUGUGCCGUGUAGGCCCCGGGUUGACCCCCUUACAGGCGCGUUUGGGUGGCCAGGUGGUGCUUUCAGGAAGCGGCUCACGCCUCGGGGAGCACUCCCUUCCUCUGGCCCAGGCCGCCCUCCCAGCCUCAGCUGAGCUGCUCCGCACUCGCUGCCCCCCAGUCCUUGGGGAGGUCUGCGCUCUCCAGAGAGACCGCUUCAGGCCUCCUUGGAUAUUUUAUGCCCGUCUGUCAGUAAUUGCUCUUCUGCUCUUCUUUACGUUCUCCUGUCAGAAGUCGUGUCUUCCAUGCCGCAUGGACCUGAAACCGAGAAGGCGUGGCAGAGGCGGCUGGGCCCGGACGUCCUUGUGGGGGCAGCAGGGCAGCUGGGCCUGUGGGGGAGUACACCCCUCUCCUCUCACUGGCCAGGCCUCCCACGCGGGUAGCGCCCCUUCCCCGUGGCCGCCCAGCAGGCAGCCUGCAGUUGGUUUCGGAAUCCAUCCGGAGAGCACAGCCUGGUGCUCACAGCUCCGAUGCUCCCAGCAGAGGGGUCCUGAGCCAGGUUUGAGUCCGAGGCGGUGGUCAGCAGCCAGGCAAGCUGGGCUGAAGCUGGUUCCAUCACUGUUGCCAUAGCAACCCAUCACCUCAGUCUCUGUCCCUAAAUGCAGAGCACAGGUCACAUCAGGGACACUGCUGUCAGAAUGCACAGCAAGUGCUCAGUCCUUUCAGGUGGCGGUUGUGUCGCUGUUUUAACUUCCAUUGCCUGAAUUCUUUCUUUAAGCAUUAUUGUAAAUUCAAAUUAGAGAGAUGAGAAUUACUUUACGUGGAGGGCAUUGACUUAGGUCACCGAAGAAGUUCACUGAGCCGAGAUUUAAUUAUGUCACAGCUCCAAGAAACUUGAGGACCUUUGGGUUCGUUCUUCACAUGAAGGCAGUUCUGCCUCCGAGGGAGCAGCUCCUGCCGGUUGCUUUCAGUGCAGCCAACUUUGAGGAGGCAACGUGCUCAGUCUGCUGAGUGCUGGAGGGGGCGGAAGGUGCUUGAAAGAUACGGAAAGCGGUUGGCAUUUUUUAACUUUAUUUUUAUUGGUUCUCCCCUUAGAUGAUGUUAAAAUAUAAAGAUAAGAAGUGGUACCAGUUCUGACAACCCGACUGCAGCCAAGUCCAACUUCAGCCAGAAGGGGAAGUCGCCCUGUUGAAGUUUGCCAAUUUCUUUAGGAAAGCGAACAUUUCGGUUGCCGCCACCGGAGACCGUCUCCCCCUGCACAGACCCUCCUGCCUGGCCCGCAGUGAGGCCCGCACCGAUGGCCAGGGUCCUGGCCACCGCUGUCCCGGGUCCUCCUGCGUUAAACGCCCAUUUGCCAAAAGAGCGAGUUCUGCACCCGCCGUUGGUGUGGCCUCUGGGGGAGAGGCCGUAGGUCGGGUCCAGAGGCGGCACUGGGCCUGGGCGGGUCUUCGGACUUGCCCUCCCUCAAACUGGGUGGCCGCCGGCACCACAGUGGGAGAGAAGCAGACUGCUGUCUCCCAGUCCUCAGGCAGAGGCACCGAUGGCAGCUUUGGGUGAUAACCGCACACACUGGGGUGGCUGAGUCUGGGCCUCCAGUGCACCCGUGUUCCUGUACACUUGUGCUUUGUCCGUAUUUUGUCAAGAGCAAAACAAGUCCCUUUUCAUGGAGAAGAGAACUGGAGCCCGACAGGGCCACCCCUCACUCGGGGCCACGGGCGAGCAGGUGGGGACCAGGCCUCCGCCCUCACUGAGUCAGCUCAAGAAGGCUCAGCUCCCUGCUGAACUGCCGUUUCUCGCCCGUGGCGGCAGCUCCCGCACCGUGGGCCAGUUCCGUCCUCGCAUCGUCUGCCGCGUGGGGAGUGGCAGGUCCCUUGUCCGUCGUCCCCAGUCUAGUCUGACGACCUGCAAAAUCCUUUCUGUAAAAGAUGCACGUCCCGUCAGGGUCUUGGAAAGCCAGGCGGAAGGAACCCUACCCGGCCUGUGUCCCUGUGCCAGCCGGUGCCCAGAGAGCGCUGCAGAGCCGGGAGACCCCCGCCAGGCGGUGGGCAGCAGAGCGUCGGCGGAACGGAACUUACCUGUUCUCUGCCUUUGUUAAGAAAUAACCAGAGCACACGCUGAGAGCGAAUGCGGCGAGGCUGCCGUUCCACAUGCCCAGGUGGGUGUUUGCAGAGCUCUGCGUCUGCUUCGAUUCUCUGAUCUGUCCGUUAGUGAAGCUCACUGUUUACUUUGUAUAACAGUCACUGCUGGAUAUGAAAGUUUACAUUAACUUUGACUUAAAAUAUCAUUGGGAAACGACUAAAUGUAUGUGAAGGAGAUAAUUCAUCAAACCAAAAGAAAUUUUAGAAGUACAGGCAUGUUCACAGUUUUUUAAUUUGCAGGAAGGACUGAUGAGUAGCUUGUUUUAGUUGCCAUCUGUAUGAAGAACAUCCAGCAGUUCACAAAUUGCUUGAUUUGUAUCAAAUACACCCAUUUUACAGUGAUGGGUCACAGGAAGUAUCAGGCCAUGUCUGAAGGUUCAGUUGUAUGAAUAACAUCAAUAAAGCCAACAGUUAGGGAUUUGAAGAAGUCAGGAAGCCUGAAGUAAAGUACCCCAUCCACGAGGAAGGCCAUGUUAGCUCCAGUUAUCUAAUUUGCUAUGUUGUUAUUUUGUGUUAAUUGCUUUCAAUUUUAUCAUUACUCUCAUUUUAUCUGUUGUUUAUAAAAUGAGCCAAUCUUGUGAUUAUUUUUCAAGUAGAAUAGAUACAUUUGCCUGAGAUGGGUUUUAUAAGAAAUUUGGAUGUUUGUGUAAUUUUACUUCACUUUUAAAUAAUCUACAGAUCAUGCACAGCAAACUAGAAGCUCACUAGGAUUAGAAAGCCUGAGGUGUUUUUUGAGUCUAGAAAGUAGCUUCUCCUAGUUACACUUCAUUGAGUCUGUCGUUGCAAGACAGGCUGCAGUAAUAACCAACCCAGGGAAUUUAUUAUAACUGGGGAGAUGACAGCUCUGUUUUUUUUUUCCUUUUUAUAUGCAAAAGUAAUAGUCACCAGCAAGCCAAGAAAGGAUGAUGGAGUUUAAGAAAAUAUAUAAGAAAAUUACAGUUCCUCCGCUCCAUUUGUUGUUGACUGUCAAGUCAUUGAAGUGUCCAUUGAUUGACAGUCUGUCAACAGGAAGUGGUUCCUUGUACGUACCACAUACCCAGUCCAUUUCACUUUCCGUACUAGAAUACCGUAUGCAUUUGCUUUGGGAAGUAUUUGAAAUUCCAUGUUAAUGUUGACACAUUCUGUCCCUUUGAGUUUUGUAUCAUUGUAAUCACAUUGAUUUGCAAUUCAAUUAUAUAAAAUGUUUGCAAAAAAUGAUUGUAGAUACAAGUGAGUUAUUACUAACUUAAUUUGAUUUUUUUCAUGGAAGUGAAAAAUGCUGCUAACUUGUCAAAGUUGUUGUGUGUCACGUAUUACGGUUUAAGUGCAGUGCUUUACAGUAAAGGAAGAAGUUUUUCUUUUGCUUAGGACUUGUUAAUUCUUCUGAAGUUUUUCAGACAAGUCUGAAAGUGUUGGCUCCUUUGUUCAGAAGCGGGUGAGCACCUGAGGAUGGGGCUUUGUGCAGGGAGCCCCUGAGCAUGGCCUGAGGCCUGGUUCUGGGUACACUUGGCUCAAGGCAUUUUUUGUGCUAUGAGAGGAGCUGCAUCCAAAGGUAGGUUUUUUUGUGGCAAAGAUUUAUUUUACAUUUUAAUUUUAGGGAUUUUGUUUGUUUUUGCAAAAUAAAGAGCACUGAACUUUUAAACUUGAAUUUUUCUGCACUUUUUAAGUAAUGAAAACUUUUUAUCAUUUAAGGCCACAUCUCUCAGUUCAAAUCAAGUGAUACAUCUGUACGAAACAUACCUAAAUCAUAAGUGUGCUGGCAGUGACACUGAGAUAAAUUGAGCAUGGUUUUAAAACCUUUCCCAGGGUUUUACAUAGUUUUCAAGGAUGAAAAAGUAGUCAAUUCGUUUGCUGUGUGUGCCAGUGUUCUUGGUCCUAAAUUAUUGCAACACCUUUAGAUUUGUUUUGAGACCAGAUGUAACGUUAUAUUUUUACACACUGCUAGAGAAAUACCUUUACUUUUAAAGUGGAAUUUUUAUAAAUGUAUUCUUUAAUUUUUAAAAUGGUGAACUUAAGUUUAAGUCAGAGUACUUAAAAAGUAUGUAUAUUAUCCAUACAAAAAGUUAUGUUUUAUGCUUAUAAUAAGAAAUAUCAGUAUCUCAUAUCGAGAUACAAUUAAAAUCAUACAUCAUCAAUUCUUUACAUGUGGCAGGAAAGAUAUUGUUGCUAUGGUUUAAAAAAAACAAAGGAAAACAGACAAAAAAAAACUCUAUUGAGCAUUUUCAAACAUUACUUUUAUUUGGUGGGAAAUUGCCCACAACAUAAUUGCCAGACCUCCGUCAGUGCUGCAGCGUGCUGUCGGACGCCCGUUAACUAGUGCUUUAAAAAGACGGGCACUUAAAUAGUUUUCCAGGUAUUCUCUUCUACCUUUUUUUAAAAUAAAUUCCCAAAAACAGAAAGAGUUGAUGUAUUUUUGUCAGUGGAGGAUUUUAUUUUGUAGUUUAAAGAACUUGUUUCUUAUUUGAUACUGGGUCAGUGCUCCCAGACUUUUUACUCUGUGUUUACUUUGGACAAGGACACUCCUGGGCCCCGGCCUCCUCUUUCUUUUCCCUUUUGGGUGGUUUAUUCUCUUGGAUUGAAAUUCAGGCCGCAGAGAAUUUUCUCGUUUGAGAGCGUGUGUGGGUGCUGCGCACAUGCUGUUGACUGCACUGUCCCCGCUCGGUCACCUCGUGCAGUGCCGCGGGGACUGUUUCCUGUGAGCACUGGUGACCUCACUGCUGCCACACGAGGUGGUUAAGGUUCUGUGAGCAGAAAAUAGUUGCCAAAAAAAAAAGGAAGCCUUGGCUUACCUCUCUCAGCGAAAUUCAGUUACUUCAUUACUUCAGCAUCUCCCCAGCCAGCAGGGCGCAGCGUCACUCUCCACGUCGCUCACAGGGUCCCGUUCACCGGGCACAGCACCAGGGCUCCGUGUAAGUGCUCGCUUACUUGACUCUGGCAGGAAAAUCGUGAAUCUCAGCUUUGCUGGUAUUUCACAGUGAAACUCAUGGUUAGAAUUACUGAAAUUUUAUAGUGUGUGAGAUGUAAAUAAAUCAGUAUUACUCUGGUGGAUUGUUUGGCUCAGGCGUGUAAAAUGGAGAUAGGCUAAUGGCGAUGGAACCCUGUCUCGGAGUUUCAUAAUUACACUUUUGCUAUUUGCUUUGUGUUGCCUAAACUUCGCUUCAACGGAGGACGACUCAGCAUAUCAUCAGUAGAAAGGACUGCAAGGAGGGAAAAGCAUGUUUUAAAUGUUUUUUCUGUAAGUAAGUGGGACUGGUACUUGGACGUGACCCCUGCUCAACAGAGAGCAGCCCGCCUCCCCGAAAACGCACCUCGGAGGCCCGGGGGCCCACCUCCCAGGGGUUCGGCGUGCUCAGUCCCAGGGACCACCUGGGUGUAUAGACUAAUCGUGGUGACAGACCCAUUGCUGUGUACGGUUUCAUUUAAAACAAAAGCACCCUUUGCAAACACUAGCAGUGUAACUUUGUAGUUAUUUUGCAUCCCUGUACUUUACAGACUGUUGUCACAGGAAAAGGUUAAAAUUAGGUAAUGAAAUAUUUUUGUAAAUACCCUUAAGCUGGUAUUUUUAAAAAUGUAUUAUAAGUUAAUGUUUCUGGAAAUGUUCAUAUAGAUGCCUAUGAAUGUGUCUUUACGUGAAGGGCUCUGAUUGGGCAAAAUAAAAUAAUCCCUCCUGAAGCCAAACAACCCCUU